CAAACACGGUGGUCGUACUGGCCAUGAGGCUGCUUCUCAUGAAGAUCAUCGUCUUCAACACUCUGAUGACCACUUACGCUGUUAUUAAGUGAUGAAUGGAGAGCUUCUGCUGUGUGACCUUGAAAAAACAAACUAACCCAGAGAGGGGAACUUUUUCUUGUCUGAAUCUAUACAGUGAUGAUUUGUGCACUGGAAGAUGAUAUGUUCCUGUGGUCUUACACAGAGCUUUUUGGAAGGUUUCAUGGAUUAAAUGGGAAAGUAUCCACUGUCAGGAUCGCAGGAGAAGCAGCUCUCAAAUGCUACAAAUCUUUUGUCGCGCCAUUUUCAGCCCUUCAGAACCGACAUCCCAGGUGUUGCUGACUGUGGCAGUUGAAAACAGAUUGUGUUUGCGAAGCCAAACUUGGUAUCUGUUCAAAACCUAACCUCAGACAGAUGGGUUAGUGCACAUACUGUACAGACGUGUGUGUGUGUGUGUGUGUGUGUGUGUGUGUGUGUGUGUGUGUGUGAGUGUGUGUGCUUCUGUUUGUCGGGUCUAAUCUUUAACUCUGAAUUCCUUGAAUUACUAAAACAUUUGUAGUGAAAACUUGGCACAACGUUUUUUGGAAGUUUACAAAAAAUAAAAUAAUUUUACAUUUGUUUUGCUUUUUAUAUUCUUGUAAAAGUAAUAAACAGCAAGUAAGCUUGAUCAUUUUGACUUUAUUGUUUUUUAAAUAAAACACUUGCACACAGUUUGUUUCCUCAAUUUUUUUCUUUUUCUUUUUUUUUUUUUCUUUUUGAGCGCCUUGAGUAACACACUGACAUAGCAACAGAGCACCACUAGGUGGCAGUACAAUCACAUCUGACAUUUUUUUAAAUUAUUAUCCAACAGCAAGAAUAUGGAGCUUAACUUCCCCUACAGGACACUACGUUCAUAAAUAAGUUAAGUAUUUCAACACUGACCAGUCACUCUUCACCAAACUGACACUCACACAUGAUGUAAGAGAUCACAAUGCCAAAAAACUGAGAUUAAGCUUAUAUGGCCAAAAAAGUGGGGCACAGUUAUACAGAAUGUUACAUGUUAAAAAAAAGCUCAUAGUUGUAGGGAUUAACAUUUCUACCAGGUAUCAAAUGGCAUUCAUUUCCCACGACACAAUGCUGAAGUAUGUAUCCCCGCUGAUUCUGUGGUGACGUUUUCUCAGUGAUUUGCAGUGUUUUGUCCACACUCCAGUAUCUUACACAUAUCUCAUUAAGGAGCAGCUUGUCAAUUCUGGCAGUAGGAGAAAAAUAGUCUACAGUAGCAAGUUUAAAAACAUGGGGAGGGGGGACUGUGAGGAGGAGGAGGAGGAGGAGGAGGAGGAGGAGGAGGAGGAGGGUGCUGGUUUGGUGGUGAGUUAUGAUUUCCUUUCUACAUAAAAAAUCAUACAUCAUCUGUCUUUGGCUCAAAUGAAAACAACAAAGUUUACGCUGAGUAACAAACAUGAGCCAGUAUCGUCACAGCCUCUUGAAAAAAAGGUGGAAAUACCAUGAUUUUCAGAAGAAAUAAAAACACAUUCAAACAUGUCACCAAAACUGGUAAAAAAAAAAAACAAAA